rnacentral:rRNA from 1 species
AGGGAGUUUGAUCCUGGCUCAGGACGAACGCUGGCGGCGCGCUUAACACAUGCAAGUCGAACGGUGAAGGUGCUUCGGCACCGGAUCAGUGGCGGACGGGUGAGUUUCACGUGAGCAACCUGCCCUUCAGAGGGGGAUAACAUUGAGAAAUCAGUGCUAAUACCGCAUAAGACCACAGUAAGGCAUCUUACAGGGGUCAAAGGAGCAAUCCGCUGAAGGAUGGGCUCGCGUCCCAUUAGGCAGUUGGCGGGGUAACGGCCCACCAAACCUGUGAUGGGUAGCCGUGCUGAGAGGCAGGCCGGCCACACUGGAACUGAGACACGGUCCAGACUCCUACGGGAGGCAGCAGUGGGGAAUAUUGGGCAAUGGACGAAAGUCUGACCCAGCGACGCCGCGUGGAGGAAGAAGGCCCUCGGGUUGUAAACUCCUGUGACAGGGGACGAAGGAAGUGACGGUACCCUGAGAGGAAGCCCCGGCUAACUACGUGCCAGCAGCCGCGGUAAUACGUAGGGGGCGAGCGUUGUCCGGAAUUACUGGGCGUAAAGGGCGCGUAGGCGGUUUGUUAAGUUUGCUGUGAAAUGCCGGGGCUCAACUCCGGCACUGCGGUGAAAACUGGCAGACUCGAGUAUGUCAGAGGCAAGCGGAAUUCCCAGUGUAGCGGUGAAAUGCACAGAGAUUGGGAGGAACAUCGGUGGCGAAGGCGGCUUGCUGGGGCAAAACUGACGCUGAGGCGCGAAAGCGUGGGGAGCAAACAGGAUUAGAUACCCUGGUCCU